UGGUGCAGAGGAUUUCUACAUGGCCGGU
rnacentral:piRNA from 1 species